AUGGAAAAGUACUAUACAUCUGUUUGAAUUUUGAUUAAAAGCUAGGGUAUAUCUGGCAAUUACUGAAAAUUUACCAAAGGCAGCCUUUCCCCAUUUUUGUUCCACUUGCUUCUUGGGAGUGAUACUUGAUAUAUAGGCUCUGCAUCCAAGCUGAUAUUACAGUGCCUCUCAAAUUGUGUCCACUGUAUCUGCGGCGAUACCUUAACAACCAUUUGGGUGACUCCUCACUCACAGCUAUAAUUUGCUUCGUAAUCUACCUGCCAUUUUUUCUCAGAACAAACAUUUUCUCCAGAUUUGAUUCAAGCUCCUGACAGCCUAGUUUGGUUGGAACAAACUAGUUUGGCCAUUUUUUGGACUAUUUCAUCUUAGUCAAAGUUGAGCAGUGUAUGGUAAUGUGCUGAAUAGGACAUUUUCUACAUCUCCUCGGUGAAAUGAAAAAAAAAUGAAGCAACUGAAGUGCUGUCUAUCAUCCUUGAUCUGAAGGGAGAGGCUGCAUUGCAGACAUCAGGCUGCACGAAGAGCAUAAACAUUUCUCCUGGGACAGGGACAGGCAGCCUACCUGCCUGCAAAAAGCAUGCCUGGGUGGAGGACCUCCUGCAGCAGGUGGCUGAGAAGGCUGUGUGGUGAGAAGGCUAACAUCAGGAGGCUGAGAAUGAGUUAGCUGGUUUCAAGCACAGU
rnacentral:lncRNA from 1 species